rnacentral:rRNA from 1 species
CAGCCGCCACGGUAAUACGUAGGGUGCGAGCGUUAAUCGGAAUUACUGGGCGUAAAGCGUGCGCAGGCGGUGCUGCAAGACCGAUGUGAAAGCCCCGGGCUUAACCUGGGAACUGCAUUGGUGACUGCAGCGCUGGAGUAUGGCAGAGGGGGGUGGAAUUCCACGUGUAGCAGUGAAAUGCGUAGAGAUGUGGAGGAACACCGAUGGCGAAGGCAGCCCCCUGGGCCAAUACUGACGCUCAUGCACGAAAGCGUGGGGAGCAAACAGGAUUAGAUACCCCUGUAGUCCCUGUCUCUUAUAC